rnacentral:rRNA from 1 species
GACGAACGCUGGCGGCGUGCUUAACACAUGCAAGUCGAACGGAAAGGCCCUGCUUUUGUGGGGUGCUCGAGUGGCGAGCGGGUGAGUAACACGUGAGUAACCUGCCCUUGACUUUGGGAUAACUUCAGGAAACUGGGGCUAAUACCGGAUAGGAGCUCCUGCUGCAUGGUGGGGGUUGGAAAGUUUCGGCGGUUGGGGAUGGACUCGCGGCUUAUCAGCUUGUUGGUGGGGUAGUGGCUUACCAAGGCUUUGACGGGUAGCCGGCCUGAGAGGGUGACCGGCCACAUUGGGACUGAGAUACGGCCCAGACUCCUACGGGAGGCAGCAGUGGGGAAUAUUGCACAAUGGGCGGAAGCCUGAUGCAGCAACGCCGCGUGCGGGAUGACAGCCUUCGGGUUGUAAACCGCUUUCGCCUGUGACGAAGCGUGAGUGACGGUAAUGGGUAAAGAAGCACCGGCUAACUACGUG